rnacentral:rRNA from 1 species
CUAAACGACUCUCGGCAACGGAUAUCUCGGCUCUUGCAUCGAUGAAGAACGUAGCGAAAUGCGAUACUUGGUGUGAAUUGCAGAAUCCCGUGAACCAUCGAGUCUUUGAACGCAAGUUGCGCCUGAAGCCAUCAGGUUGAAGGCACGUCUGCCUGGGCGYCACGCAU